rnacentral:lncRNA from 1 species
UGGGUUAUGACUUAUGAGACGGGUGCACUGUUUUCCCUCCCCUAUUAAGCCGGCCUGCACUUGUUUGAAGCAUUGUAUAGAAUUAACAGCAGUUUGGAGGAAUUUGCAUUCCCCAACUAAUCAACCUAUCUUGCUAGAAAUGAUAACCGAGCAUAUGAUAGAAUGAUUUGGACCUCUUCACGUGAACCAAUGAUUAACUGGUCUUGCAAAGUAUCGUUUGCCCAUUGUGUAUGUUAAAAAGUAGAAUAUAUGGACCUAAUCAAGAACUCUCAUGUGUGCCAAUACAACGUGUAUGGUCACCAUGGUACUAGCUCGGCGAGCAGGCCAGCUUACUAGGGGAGAUGGACAGAUGGGCUAUAGUCCAACCUUAUUCUGAGAAUGCCACUUUAUAACACUUUAAACACUGAAGUUUUUUUACCAACACUUUAAACUUUCAAAGUGACAUUUUUAUCAUAACAAACCUCAAACAACCUUUUUUUAUUCAUAGACAACCGGUACUAUUUAUUUUACAUGUUAAAAUAACGAGGUGUCUGUUUCUUUUAAAAAAUAAUAAUAAAAAAUACAUAAAAUUCGAAUAAAAUUAGAGAAAAUUGUAAAAAAGUUGUAAAAAAUUAAAACAAAAUUCAAAAAUCUAAAUUUCAAAAUAUAAAAAUUAAAAUUUCAAACUUAAAAAUAAAAUAAAAUAUUAAAAAUUAUAAAAAUUGAAAAUAAUAACCAAAACUAAAAUGUCAAAUUUAAAAACUAAAAUAAAAUUAUAAAAAUUGAAAAAUAAAAUCUAAAAUUAAAAUGUCAGAUUUAAAAACUAAAAAAAAUUUUUUAAAAAAUUGAAAAAUAAGAUCUAAAAUUAAAAAUUCAAACUUAAAAAAAUUUGUAAAUAUUUAAACAAAAAAUUCAAACUUGCUACCAUCAAAAACCUUUUUUAUAUAACUCGGAUAUCCGAACACCUUAUGUAGUCCGACUAGCACAUAAGUACACCUCCGCAGAGAGCAUUCUGGGGGGCCACAGAUUUCACCCCAUGUUAAUUGAUGGUGGCCACACGCGGGGCUAAUAAUUCUCUCAAUUAGAUUAUUUUGAGUGUUUGUCCCAAAAAAAAUUCUAAGAAGGAAAAUGACCAAAAUAUUUCAUUAAAAAUACAAAAGACUCUUAUAUCCUAGAUAUAUAAAUACAAAUAAAUAAAUAAUAAAAAUAUUUUUUAAUACUUUUUAACUUAUUUUUGAUUUUUUAGAAUUUUUAAAUUUAAUUUUCGUUUUUUAAGUUUUACAUUUUAAUUUGAGAUCUCUUUUUAGAUUUUUUAAUAUUUUAUUAUUUUUAAGUUUGAAAUUUUAUUUUUUAUAUUUUUAUAUUUUUGAAUUUUAUAUUUUUGGAUUUUUUUAAAAAAUUUUGUUUACAAUUUUCAAAAAAAAUUAAUUUUAUUCGAAUUUUUAUGUAUUUUUAUUAUUUUUUAUUAAUUAUUUAAAAAAAACUGACUCCUCAUCAUUUUAAC